GAACGCUGGCGGCGUGCUUAACACAUGCAAGUCGAACGGUGAAGCCAAGCUUGCUUGGUGGAUCAGUGGCGAACGGGUGAGUAACACGUGAGCAACCUGCCCUGGACUCUGGGAUAAGCGCUGGAAACGGCGUCUAAUACUGGAUAUGAGACGUGAUCGCAUGGUCGUGUUUGGAAAGAUUUUUCGGUCUGGGAUGGGCUCGCGGCCUAUCAGCUUGUUGGUGAGGUAAUGGCUCACCAAGGCGUCGACGGGUAGCCGGCCUGAGAGGGUGACCGGCCACACUGGGACUGAGACACGGCCCAGACUCCUACGGGAGGCAGCAGUGGGGAAUAUUGCACAAUGGGCGGAAGCCUGAUGCAGCAACGCCGCGUGAGGGAUGACGGCCUUCGGGUUGUAAACCUCUUUUAGCAGGGAAGAAGCGAAAGUGACGGUACCUGCAGAAAAAGCGCCGGCUAACUACGUGCCAGCAGCCGCGGUAAUACGUAGGGCGCAAGCGUUAUCCGGAAUUAUUGGGCGUAAAGAGCUCGUAGGCGGUUUGUCGCGUCUGCUGUGAAAUCCCGAGGCUCAACCUCGGGCCUGCAGUGGGUACGGGCAGACUAGAGUGCGGUAGGGGAGAUUGGAAUUCCUGGUGUAGCGGUGGAAUGCGCAGAUAUCAGGAGGAACACCGAUGGCGAAGGCAGAUCUCUGGGCCGUAACUGACGCUGAGGAGCGAAAGGGUGGGGAGCAAACAGGCUUAGAUACCCUGGUAGUCCACCCCGUAAA
rnacentral:rRNA from 1 species